AAACUUUGGCCUGACUAAAGAUGGACAAGUGCAUUUAACCUAAUUUAUCCUAUUUUUCAAAGUUUACUUUCUUACACCGAGUUUUCUCCACUUUUUACCCACAUACUUGUUUCAUUUAAUUAUAUGUACUUGGUUUUUCUGAGUGCACAGCAUGGUUUGUGGUAUGAGACUUAAGUUUCAGAGCUGUGCGCAUGUCCAUUUCCGGUUAGCGCGCAUUUACCGGAAGCAAGCAGUUCAAAUCCGAUCACGCAGACCCUGGGCUCUCACGGAAGGUUGGCUCUAACGUUGAUUUCGACUAUCUUAGGUGGUGUCUGGCAGUGAAGUUGGUGGCAGUUUGAAAAGAGUUACCCUCGGUCACCAAGACUUUGUUGGCCACCAGGGUACCAGAUAAUCAUCUUACUCAGUCAGACCAGCUCAGCAACCGCAGUUUUCGUGUCUGUACACCUCCUCCUCACUGCUGCGUCAUUGAUAAGAAGCUCUCUCAGUAGACUUGACCAAAAAUCUUUUAGAGAUGAUCCAGACUGUACAAGCUCAAGUUUACAAGUAAAGAAAGGACAAUCCUCAAAAAGAAAGUCUUGGAUUGUGGCCAACUGUCCUCCACUGAGAAUCAAAUCAGUGUCUACUGGAGGAGGCAUGCAUUGGACAUGUCUUUGCUGAGUUCUACAGAGUUACCAGUAAGAACCUUAAGAAAGACUUCUACGAAGCUCUUGAGCACCACGCCACUCGU